rnacentral:misc_RNA from 1 species
GUAGGUGAACCUGCGGAAGGAUCAUUACCUUUUGCUUAUAGCAUUCCCUAGGCCUAGCCUCUGGGUUUGUUGUGGCAUAAACCCUUGUCUACAUAUACCUUUGGUUCUCCUUUGGCAGGCUCAUGUCUGCCACAGGACCCACACAAACCUCUCUAUGGUAGCCUAUAAUUCUGAAUAUGAUAAUAAUUAUAACUUUCAACAAUGGAUCUCUUGGCUCUGGCAUCGAUGAAGAACGCAGCAUCUGACUGAC